rnacentral:rRNA from 1 species
GAAAGGAGGGCUAAUACCGCAUAACAUCUCGUGCAUUUCGAUAAACGAGAUCAAAGCUUGCCUCUACUUGUAAGCUAGCGCCACCGGAGGGGCCCGCGCCCCAUUAGCUUGUUGGUGAGGUAACGGCUCGCCAAGGCGACGAUGGGUAGCCGGCCUGAGAGGGUGAUCGGCCACACUGGAACUGAGACACGGUCCAGACUCCUACGGGAGGCAGCAGUGAGGAAUUUUGCGCAAUGGGCGAAAGCCUGACGCAGCGACGCCGCGUGGAGGACGAAGGCCUUCGGGUCGUAAACUCCUGUCGAGCGGGACGAAAUCGGCACGGACGAAUAGUCCGUGUUGUUGACGGUACCGCUGGAGGAAGCCCCGGCUAACUCCGUGCCAGCAGCCGCGGUAAUACGGAGGGGGCCAGCGUUGUUCGGAAUUAUUGGGCGUAAAGGGCGCGUAGGCGGUCAAGCAAGUCGGAGGUGAAAUCCCUCGGCUCAACCGAGGAACUGCCUCCGAAACUGCUUGACUUGAGUCCCGGAGAGGGUAGCGGAAUUCCCAGUGUAGCGGUGAAAUGCGUAGAUAUUGGGAGGAACACCAGUGGC